UAGGGAAUCUUCCGCAAUGGGCGAAAGCCUGACGGAGCAACGCCGCGUGAGUGAUGAAGGUCUUCGGAUCGUAAAACUCUGUUUUUAGGGAAGAACAAAUUUGUAAGUAACUAUGCACGUCUUGCCGGUACCUAAUCAGAAAGCCCCGGCUAACUACGUGCCAGCAGCCGCGGUAAUACGUAGGUGGCAAGCGUUAUCCGGAAUUAUUGGGCGUAAAGCGCGCGUAGGCGGUUUUUUAAGUCUGAUGUGAAAGCCCACGGCUCAACCGGGGAGGGUCAUUGGAAACUGGAAAACUUGAGUGCAGAAGAGGAAAGUGGAAUUCCAUGUGUAGCGGUGAAAUGCGCAGAGAUAUGGAGGAACACCAGUGGCGAAGGCGACUUUCUGGUCUGUAACUGACGCUGAUGUGCGAAAGCGUGGGGAUGAAACAGG
rnacentral:rRNA from 1 species